rnacentral:rRNA from 1 species
UACGAAGGGGGCUAGCGUUGCUCGGAAUCACUGGGCGUAAAGCGCACGUAGGCGGCUUUGUAAGUUAGAGGUGAAAGCCCGGAGCUCAACUCCGGAAUUGCCUUUAAGACUGCAUCGCUCGAAUCAUGGAGAGGUGAGUGGAAUUCCGAGUGUAGAGGUGAAAUUCGUAGAUAUUCGGAGGAACACCAGAAGCGAAGGCGGCCAACUGGCCCGAUACUGACGCUGAGGCGGCGAAAGCGUGGGGAGCAAACA